rnacentral:rRNA from 1 species
CACGCCGUAAACGAUGUCAACUAGGUGUUGGGGGACUUAGAGCCCUUAGUAUCGUAGCUAACGCGAUAAGUUGACCGCCUGGGGAGUACGGCCGCAAGGUUAAAACUCAAAGGAAUUGACGGGGGCCCGCACAAGCGGUGGAGCAUGUGGUUUAAUUCGAUGCAACGCGAAGAACCUUACCUGGCCUUGACAUCCUGUGAACUUUCUAGAGAUAGAUUGGUGCCUUCGGGAACACAGUGACAG